AGAAAAUUUUAUAAUGAUUUUAUAAUUAAUUAUAUUUUUGUAUUAAUAUAAAAAAAUUUAAAUAUUAGAAAUUUUAGUUUAGUUUAAUAGUUAAAUUUAAAAAAUUAAUGAAAGUUAAAUUUAGAAAAAAAAAUUAAUAAAGAUUAAAUUUAGUGCCAGCAAUAGCGGUUAGACUAAUUUUGUAAAUUAAUUUUAAGAAAUUAAUAUAUAUAUAUAUAUUAUAAAUAAUAUUUAAUUAAAUUUAGAGAUUUUAGGUGAAAUUUAAUUUUUAUGUAUAUUAAAUUUUAUAUUUAUAAAUAUAAUAAGAUAAAUAAAUAAACUAGGAUUAGAUACCCUAUUAUAUAAAAUAAUAAAAUAAUUUAUAAGUAAAUGUUAAAUCAUUAAAAUUAAAUUAUAUGGCGGCUUUUCAUUCUUAUUAGAGAAAUUUGUAAUUUAAUUUGAUAGUCCACGAUAAGAUUUACUUAAAUUUUAAAUUUAUGUAUUGUUGUUUAUUUUUAUAUAAAAUUAUUUAUAAUAAAUAUUUAAUAAAAUAAUAAUUCAAAUCAAAAUGUAGUAUAUUUAAGGAUAUUAUGAAUUAUAAUAAAUUGAAUUUUUGAAUAAUUUUAUUAUAAUAUGAAUUUGAAAGAGAAUUUAAUAGUAAAAAUAAUAAAUUUAUUAUUUUGAAAUUAGUUUUGAAAAGUGUACAAAUUGCCCGUCAAUUUCAAUUAAGGAAUAAGUCGUAACAUAGUAAAAAUAUUGGAAAAUGUUUUUAGAAAAUU
rnacentral:ncRNA from 1 species